rnacentral:ncRNA from 1 species
CAAAAAGCUUGGUCCUGGCUUUUCUAUCAGCUCUAGCCAAAUUUACACAUGCAAGUAUCCGCAACCCAGUGAGAAUGCCCAACAGUUCCCCACUUUCGGGAACAAGGAGCCGGUAUCAGGCACUUACUAACUUUAAAGCCCACGACACCUUGCUUAGCCACACCCCCAAGGGAAUUCAGCAGUGAUAGACAUUGACCUAUAAGUGUAAACUUGACUCAGUUAAGGCUAAAAGAGUCGGUAAAACUCGUGCCAGCCACCGCGGUUAUACGAGAGACUCAAGUUGAUAGACAUCGGCGUAAAGAGUGGUUAAGAACUACAAAAAACUAAAGCCAAACACCUUCAAAGCUGUUAUACGCAUUCGAAGGCAAGAAGCCCAACUACGAAAGUGGCUUUACACCCCCCUGAACCCACGAAAGCCAGGGCACAAACUGGGAUUAGAUACCCCACUAUGCCUGGCCCUAAACAUUGGCAGAACCCUACCCUUACUGCCCGCCUGGAAACUACGAGCACCAGCUUAAAACCCAAAGGACUUGGCGGUGCUUUAGACCCACCUAGAGGAGCCUGUUCUAGAACCGAUACCCCCCGUUCAACCUCACCCUUCCUUGUUAUUUCCCGUCUAUAUACCGCCGUCGUCAGCCUACCCUGUGAAGGCCUAACAGUGCGCAAAAUUGGCACAGCCCAAAACGUCAGGUCGAGGUGUAGCAAAUGGAAGGGGAAGAAAUGGGCUACAUUCUCUACAAUAGAGAACCACGCACGGUACGAUGAAACCUCGUACCAUAAAGGAGGAUUUAGCAGUAAGUAGAAAGUAGAGUGUUCUACUGAAACAGGCCCUUAAGCGCGCACACACCGCCCGUCACUCUCCCCGAGCCUACAAGAUUUUUAUAUCUAAUACCCCAAAACUGCAAAGGGGAGGCAAGUCGUAACAUGGUAAGUGUACCGGAAGGUGCACUUGGAAAAAU